AGGAUUAACGCUGGCGGCGUGCCUAACACAUGCAAGUCGAACGAGGUAGCAAUACCUAGUGGCAGACGGGUGAGUAACACGUGGUCAACCUACCGCUUUGUGGGGGAUAACUAGCCGAAAGGUUAGCUAAUACCGCAUACGUCGCAGGCCGGCAUCGGUCGACGAUAAAAGGAGCAAUCCGCAAGGUGACGGGACCGCGUCCCAUUAGCUAGUUGGUGAGGUAAUGGCCCACCAAGGCUCCGAUGGGUAGCUGGUUUGAGAGAGCGACCAGCCACACUGGGACUGAGAUACGGCCCAGACUCCUACGGGAGGCAGCAGUGAGGAAUUUUCCGCAAUGGGCGAAAGCCUGACGGAGCGACGCCGCGUGUGGGAAGAAGGCCUUCGGGUCGUAAACCACUGUCGAAGGGAAGAUAUUGACGGUACCCUUGGAGGAACGCCCGGCUAACGUACGUGCCAGCAGCCGC
rnacentral:rRNA from 1 species